AGUGUUGAUUCGGGGGCGGUAAUUGUCCGCUCCAAAAUCUGUGUUACAUUUGAAAUUGUGAUUAUGCGUAAUUUUGUUGGGAGUGUUGAUUCGGGGGUUGUAAUUGUCCGCUCCAAAAUUUAUGUAACGUUUGAAAUGGUAAUUAUGUGUAUUUUGAUGGGAGUGUUCAUUCGGGGGCGGUAAUUGUCCGCUCCAAAAUCUGUGUUACAUUUGAAAUUGUGAUUAUAUGUAAUUUUGUUGGGAGUGUUGAUUCGGGGGUGGUAAUUGUCCGCUCCAAAAUUUUGUGUAACAUUUGAAAUUGUAAUCAUGUGUAUUUUGAUGGGAGUGUUCAUUCGGGGGCGGUAAUUGUCCGCUCAAAAAUCUGUGUUGCAUUUGAAAUUUUGAUUAUGUAAUUUUGUUGGGAGUGACCUUUCUGUGAAAUUUUCGUAACGGUCUAGCAUUGUAAUAGUGAGAAAUUUGUGAGAAUAAAUGUUUGAUAAAC
rnacentral:sRNA from 1 species